rnacentral:rRNA from 1 species
UACGUAGGGUGCGAGCGUUAAUCGGAAUUACUGGGCGUAAAGCGUGCGCAGGCGGUUUUGUAAGUCAGAUGUGAAAGCCCCGGGCUCAACCUGGGAACUGCGUUUGAAAGCUACAAGGCUAGAGUAUGGCAGAGGGGGGUAGAAUUCCACGUGUAGCAGUGAAAUGCGUAGAGAUGUGGAGGAAUACCAAUGGCGAAGGCAGCCCCCUGGGUCAAUACUGACGCUCAUGCACGAAAGCGUGGGGAGCAAACAGG